UACGAAGGGGGCUAGCGUUGCUCGGAAUCACUGGGCGUAAAGCGCACGUAGGCGGCUUACUAAGUCAGGGGUGAAAUCCUGGAGCUCAACUCCAGAACUGCCUUUGAUACUGGUGAGCUUGAGUCCGGGAGAGGUGAGUGGAACUGCGAGUGUAGAGGUGAAAUUCGUAGAUAUUCGCAAGAACACCAGUGGCGAAGGCGGCUCACUGGCCCGGUACUGACGCUGAGGUGCGAAAGCGUGGGGAGCGAACAGG
rnacentral:rRNA from 1 species